rnacentral:rRNA from 1 species
UACGAAGGGGACUAGCGUUGUUCGGAAUCACUGGGCGUAAAGCGCACGUAGGCGGAUAUGUCAGUCAGGGGUGAAAUCCCGGGGCUUAACCUCGGAACUGCCUUUGAUACAGCAUAUCUUGAGUCCGAUAGAGGUGGGUGGAAUUCCUAGUGUAGAGGUGAAAUUCGUAGAUAUUAGGAGGAACACCGGUGGCGAAGGCGGCCCACUGGAUCGGUACUGACGCUGAGGUGCGAAAGCGUGGGGAGCAAACAGG